rnacentral:rRNA from 1 species
UACGUAGGGGGCAAGCGUUGUCCGGAAUCAUUGGGCGUAAAGAGCGUGUAGGCGGCUUGGCAAGUCUGGUGUGAAAUCUUGCGGCUCAACCGCAAGCGGUCACUGGAAACUGUCGGGCUAGAGUACGGAAGAGGCGAGUGGAAUUCCUGGUGUAGCGGUGAAAUGCGCAGAUAUCAGGAGGAACACCAAUUGCGAAGGCAGCUCGCUGGGACGUUACUGACGCUGAGACGCGAAAGCGUGGGGAGCAAACAGG